rnacentral:rRNA from 1 species
GGCCUUGACAUGCAGAGAACUUCCAGAGAUGGAUUGGUGCCUUCGGGAACUCUGACACAGGUGCUGCAUGGCUGUCGUCAGCUCGUGCGUGAGAUGUUGGGUUAAGUCCCGUAACGAGCGCAACCCUUGUCCUUAGUUACCAGCACGUUAUGGUGGGCACUCUAAGGAGACUGCCGGUGACAAACCGGAGGAAGGUGGGGAUGACGUCAAGUCAUCAUGGCCCUUACGGCCUGGGCUACACACGUGCUACAAUGGUCGGUACAAAGGGUUGCCAAGCCGCGAGGUGGAGCUAAUCCCAUAAAACCGAUCGUAGUCCGGAUCGCAGUCUGCAACUCGACUCCAUGAAGUUGGAAUCGCUAGUAAUCGUGGAUCAGCAUGCCACGGUGAAUACGUUCCCGGGCCUU